rnacentral:lncRNA from 1 species
AAUGCAAUGACCUAUGAGGAUGUGCAUAUGAACUUCACUCAGGAAGAGUGACCUUUGCUGGAUCCUUCACAGAAGAGUAUCAACAAAUAUGUGAUGUUGGAGACCUAAAGGAACCUCAAUGCUGGCUACAAUUGGGAAGACCAUAAUAUUGAAGAACAUUGUCAAAGUCCCAGAAGACGUGGAAGGUUCACAAUGGAUUCAAGCCAUGUGAGCAUAGGGAUAUUGAAAGAAGCAAAGUACCCCCCCUCUCUCCCAGAACAGUUAGAAAAUACAUAGUAGUCCCUACUUUUAGUAGACUUCCUGAAUAUGAUACAAGUUUACAAUUGGUUGGUUUUCCAACUUCAUUGAGAGUAUAUCCAUAAAAUCACAUUGCAGAAAAUCCCUGUGAGUACUAGGAAUGUGGAAAUUCUUCUCUUUGUCAUUGUCCACUUUCCAAAUGUAGUAUGAUUCAUAUUAAAGGAAAAUUUAUUAAUGCAAUCAGUGUGGUAAAGCUCUGAGUUUUUCCUGCUUUCUUCAAAUAUGUGGAAAACUUCAUAGAAAAAGGAUGCUAUAAACGUGAGCCAUGUAAUAAAUGCUUUUACCAUCACAGAUAUCUUCAAACACAUACACACACACACACACACACACACAAAACAAACAAACAAACAAAAAACACCAAAAUUUAGGGGAAAUCAUGAAUGUAAACAAAGUAAUAAAACAUUAAGAUCUGAUUGCUCUUUACCAUUAAACCAAAUUGUAAAAUUAAUUCAAACAGAUAAAAGGAUUCAUCAGUGUAAUGAAUGUGAUAAAGCUUUCACUUGUGCCAAUUAUCUUUGCAGGUAUGAAAGAAAUCUUACUGGAAAGAAAAAUCUCUGAAUAUAGUUCAUGUUGUAAAGCCUUUGCAUAUAAGAGAAACCCCACAAAUGUAUUUAAUAUGGUGAAGCCUUUGCACAUUUUUAUAGCCUUCAUCAUCAUGAAAGUAUUCAUACUGGAGAGAUUCUAUGCAUGUAAGCAAUGUGAUAAAGCCUUUGCAAAUAAAAGAACACAUACUGGAAAGAAACCCUGUGAAUAUAAGCAGUGUGAUAAAGCCUUUUCUGGCAGUGCUUUUCAUGACACAGUUAUCUACAAAUACAGAAAAUAAUACAUACCAGAGAGAAAAUUUAUAAAUGUACACAGAGUGGUAAAGCCUUUGCAUGUAGCAGUAGUCUUACAAAUCAUGAG